GCGCGAUCGGCCAAUGAGAGCGCGCGAUGCCUAUUCUCCAUGCAAAUCUCCUGGUUUUUUAUUUGAAUGAGGGAUUUUGGCCACGCCUCCUGCCUUGAAAAAUGAGGCCCGUCUGCCGUGGUGGCGCUGCGGUCUUUUCAAUCGCGUCCGGAGGUGAAUUUUUUUCCGGUUGCCUCUUUUUUAAUCCUCGAGGUGUUUUUUUGUUUUGUUUUGUUUUUGCAUGGAGAUUCCUCAGUAGCCACCCCUCCAUGAAACUUGAGAAAAGAAGUAGACAGAUCAGAGAACAAAUGUAAAAUCUCAUCAUCACGACUCAGGACCCACUUCCUGAACCACUGAAAGGAGAAUUGCGUCACUGGGGAUGGACUGUGAGGUUUCAAAUGUUCAAGGCAGGCCCAGUGUCUCUUCCUGCUACCUGCUGAUCUGGACGCAGAACUCAGAGCUCUCUCCCAGCAUUAUGUCUGAAUACAUGCCACCAUGCUUUCCCCCAUGACAAUAAUAGACUGAACCUCUGAACUGGAAGGCAGCCCAGAUUAAAUGUUGUCCUUUAUAAGAGUUGCUUUGGUCACGGUGUCUUCCCUCACCAAUAGAAACGAAGACAGUUGCCAAGAAUUGCUUUAUAAUAGAGUAGGAAGUAAAUACAAGGAAACAUUUGAGGAAGUCUAUUCGUUAUUUCCUGUCGCGUGAUGAAAUGCUGUAACUGGACGUAACUUAAGGAAGAGUUUAUUCUGGCUUGCAGUUCCAGAAGACGCUGUUCAUAAUCACAGAGAAAGGAGGACUAAAAAGCUGAGAGAGCGCAUCUCGAUUGCACAUAGGAAGCAGAGAGCAAGCAGUAAGCGGGCCAAGGCUAUGAAAGCUGAAAGCAUGAAAGCAGGCCCCAGUGUGGAACUUCCUCCUCCAGCCAGGCUGCCCUGUGCAACACACUCCACCGUUGUACUGUCAAAUGUCUCCACACAGCACCACCAGAUUGGGAGCAAGUGUUCAAAUAUAUGAGCCUACGUCGGACAUUUUUCAUUCAAUCUAUAACAGAAAGCCUAAUAAAUACCAGCAUUCUUUUUCUUGUUUCCCAACUAUGGUAGUCUGAAUAAGAAUUACCCCCAUAGGCUCAUAAAUUGGAAUGCUGAACUAUGGGGGGAAGGAUUAGGAGUUAUGGCCUUGGAGAUGUGUCACUGGGGGUAAACUUUGAGGUUUGAAAAAUCCACACCAGGCCCGAUUUCUCUAUUUCUGCCUCCAAUUUGCAGAUCAAAUGUAAGCUCUGUGCUAUUGCUCCCAUGCAAUGUUGACUGGCCUCUUACCAGACUGCCAUUCUUGAUGGUUAUAGACUCACUCUCUGUCUUAGCUACUGGUCUAUUGAUGUGAAGAGACACCAUGACCAAGGCAACUCUUACAGAAGAAAGCACUUAGUUGAGGACUUGCUUACAGCUUAGGAGGGUAGUUGAUGAUCGCUAUGGUAAGAAGCCUAUGGGUGCGGCCCUAGAGCAGUAGUUGAGAGCCUUAUAUCCUGAUCUGUAGACAGCCACAAAGAGUGAGAGGUUAGGCAUGGAAUAGGUUUUGAAACCACAGUGACAUGCACCUUUGACAUACCUCCUCCUCCUAGGUCAUACCUCCUAAUCUCAUCCAGUUUCACCACCUGAGGACUAAGCCUUCAGUCAUGUGAGCCCAUGAAGGUGUGGCAUUGUCAUUCAAACAACCACACCCUCUGAAACGAUAAGCAAGCCCCUAAUUAAAUGCUUUCUUUUAUCAGUUGCUUUGGUCAUGGGAUCUCUUCACCGGAGGAGAAAAUUAGCUAAAACGCCAACUGUGAUAAAGGCUACUAGCUACAUCACAUUCAUACUGCUUUGCCUUCUCUGUGGACUGUAGUCCCUCAAGCCAUGAGCCAAAAUAAGUCCUCCAUACUUUAAAUUACUUCAUGUCAGAUAUUUUGUCACAGCAGUAAGAAGGUUAACAAAUACAUAUAUCAUC
ensembl:lncRNA